rnacentral:misc_RNA from 1 species
AACGCACCUUGCACCCUUUGGUAUUCCGAAGGGUACACCCGUCUGAGUGUCAUUGUAAUCUCACUCCACCAGCUAUUUGUUGAUGGAUGUGGACCUGGGCUCUGUUGUGUUACUACAACUGGUCUGAAAUGCAUGAGUGCACCCUGCUAUUGCAGCGUUUUCAGUGUGAUAAGCAUCUUCACUGGAUCAAGCUCCCUUGGGACACGCAGCAUUGUGGGCUCUGUGCUGGCAAACUGUCUUUGGACAACUUUGACAAUUUGACCUCAGAUCGGGUGGGACUACCCGCUGAACUUAA